rnacentral:rRNA from 1 species
ACGAUAACGGCGUCGAGCGGCGGACGGGUGAGUAAUGCCUAGGAAAUUGCCCUGAUGUGGGGGAUAACCAUUGGAAACGAUGGCUAAUACCGCAUAAUGCCUACGGGCCAAAGAGGGGGACCUUCGGGCCUCUCGCGUCAGGAUAUGCCUAGGUGGGAUUAGCUAGUUGGUGAGGUAAUGGCUCACCAAGGCGACGAUCCCUAGCUGGUCUGAGAGGAUGAUCAGCCACACUGGAACUGAGACACGGUCCAGACUCCUACGGGAGGCAGCAGUGGGGAAUAUUGCACAAUGGGCGCAAGCCUGAUGCAGCCAUGCCGCGUGUGUGAAGAAGGCCUUCGGGUUGUAAAGCACUUUCAGUCGUGAGGAAGGUGGUAGUGUUAAUAGCACUAUCAUUUGACGUUAGCGACAGAAGAAGCACCGGCUAACUCCGUGCCAGCAGCCGCGGUAAUACGGAGGGUGCGAGCGUUAAUCGGAAUUACUGGGCGUAAAGCGCAUGCAGGUGGUUUGUUAAGUCAGAUGUGAAAGCCCGGGGCUCAACCUCGGAAUAGCAUUUGAAACUGGCAGACUAGAGUACUGUAGAGGGGGGUAGAAUUUCAGGUGUAGCGGUGAAAUGCGUAGAGAUCUGAAGGAAUACCGGUGGCGAAGGCGGCCCCCU